rnacentral:rRNA from 1 species
AUUGAACGCUGGCGGCAUGCCUUACACAUGCAAGUCGAACGGCAGCACGGGUGCUUGCACCUGGUGGCGAGUGGCGAACGGGUGAGUAAUACAUCGGAACGUACCUUAUCGUGGGGGAUAACGCAGCGAAAGUUGCGCUAAUACCGCAUACGCCCUGAGGGGGAAAGCGGGGGACCGUAAGGCCUCGCGCGAUUAGAGCGACCGAUGUCUGAUUAGCUUGUUGGUGAGGUAAAAGCUCACCAAGGCGAUGAUCAGUAGCUGGUCUGAGAGGACGAUCAGCCACACUGGGACUGAGACACGGCCCAGACUCCUACGGGAGGCAGCAGUGGGGAAUUUUGGACAAUGGGGGCAACCCUGAUCCAGCAAUGCCGCGUGAGUGAAGAAGGCCUUCGGGUUGUAACGCUCUUUUGUCAGGGAAGAAACAGCAGCUCUAACACAGUCUGCGAAUGACGGUACCUGAAGAAUAAGCACCGGCUAACUACGUGCCAGCAGCCGCGGUAA